CUACAGGGUAACACCUGUAGAUAUGAUGCAACAGGCUUAUGCCAUUGGAGAGUGAAUAGUCAACCUUCUGAAAACAGUGUACACCACUGGAAGGGCAAGAAAAAACUACAAUACAGAACAUCUUUCUGACCUUGAGGUCAGGAAGUCCUCCUCGACAAGACACAAAAAAGAAAAAUCACAAAGGAAAAGAAUGACAACUUGACUCCAUCAAAAUUAAAAACAGAUGGAGUCUUGUUCUUUUCGCCCAGGCUGGACUGCAGUAGUGUGAUCUUGGCUCACUGCAACCCCCGCUUCCACCUCCGCCUCCACCUCCGUGGUUCAAGCGAUUCUCCUGCCUCAGCCUCCUGAGUAGCUGGGAUUACAGGUGCCCGCCACCUCACCUGGCUAAUUUUUGUUCUUUUAGUAGAGACGGGGUUUCACUAUGUUGGCCAGGUUGUGAACUCCUGACCUCAGGUGAUCCACCCGCCUCGG